UUUUAGCCCGGAUAGAAGCGGCAUCCUUUUUUGUGGCAGACGGAUCCCGAAACUUCGGGAGGAGACUGCUGCAAAAAAGAUACAGCGUAUAGCCGGAUGAGCU
rnacentral:sRNA from 1 species